GUCCCAGAAGUCCUGGAUCGAACACACUUUCACCAGGAGGGAAUGUGUCUAUAUUCUGCCCGUGUCGAAGGACCCGCACAGAUGCCUCCCAGGAUGCCAAAUCUGCCAGCAGCUCGUGCGAUGCUGCUGCGGGCGUCUGGU